CUUCUGGACACUGUGGACACUAUCUGAGAUGUGCUCUAUUUACAACACCGCUCCCAGCAUAUGGUAUGCAGCUAUUGAGUUGGAAAGUGCUUACACUGCACCAGCUGGAAAGACUUCUCGUGCCCAGAGCCAAUCACAACUGGCAGCUUUAUGGCUUAUAAGCUCCAUCUGGAAUCACUGAGGAAUCAUGGAAAAAUGCCUUGUCCCGGAUCUGCAUCUGAAAAAGCUCCUCGUCUCGAGUGGGUAACUUCUGGGUCCUUGAGCUGAGUGGUAAGAGCAGCCACAGCAGACACCAGUGGAGCGGCACCAUCCUGCAGGGACAGAAAUGAUCGCUGAGGUUAGUUCUGUGAGCAGACA